rnacentral:tRNA from 1 species
CGCGCGGUGCGGCGGGCGUCGUCGGCGGCGCGCUGGGCGCCGCGCCGGUCCUCGUCGGCGGCGCGCGCCCGUUCCAGGCAGGCCUGGGCGC